rfam:Pteropus alecto contig164648, whole genome shotgun sequence.
GUCUAUGGCCAUGCCACCCUGAACACGACCAAUCCCAUCUGAUCUUGGAAGCUAAGCAGGGUUGGGCCUGAUUAGUAGUUGGAUGGGAGACCACCUAGGAAGACCAGGUGCUGUAGGCA